rnacentral:rRNA from 1 species
GACGAACGCUGGCGGCGUGCUUAACACAUGCAAGUCGAACGAUGAAGCCCAGCUUGCUGGGUGGAUUAGUGGCGAACGGGUGAGUAACACGUGGGCAACCUGCCCCAAACUCUGGGAUCACUCCUCGAAAGAGGUGCUAAUACCGGAUACGAACUAGACAGACAUCUGUACCAGUUGGAAAGUUUUUCGGUUUGGGAUGGGCCCGCGGCCUAUCAGGUUGUUGGUGAGGUAACGGCUCACCAAGGCUACGACGGGUAACCGGCCUGAGAGGGCGACCGGUCACACUGGGACUGAGACACGGCCCAGACUCCUACGGGAGGCAGCAGUGGGGAAUAUUGCGCAAUGGGCGAAAGCCUGACGCAGCGACGCCGCGUGAGGGAUGAAGGUCUUCGGAUCGUAAACCUCUUUCAGUAGGGACGAAGCGAAAGUGACGGUACCUAAAGAAGAAGCACCGGCUAACUACGUGCCAGCCGCCGCCGUAA